UGCCGCGACCCCAGCCCGGCCGUGAGGCCCGCAGGGGCCAUGGCGAAGAAGAGCGCCGAGAACGGCAUCUGUAGCGUGUCCGGCGACCAGAAGAAGGGCCCCCUCAUCGCGCCCGGGCCUGACGGGGCCCGGGCCAAGGGCGACGGCCCCGCGGGCCUGGGGACACCCGGCGGUGGCCUGGCCGUGCCGGCGCGCGCGAUAGACCUGGACGCGCCAGAUGGACUUCAUCAUGUCGUGUGUGGGCUUCGCCGUGGAUCUGGGCAACGUGUGGCGCUUCCCCUACCUGUGCUACAAGAAUGGCGGAGGUGUGUUCCUUAUUCCCUGCAUCCUGAUAGCCCUGGUCGGAGGAAUCCCCAUUUUCUUCUUGGAGAUCUCGCUGGGCCAGUUCAUGAAGGCCGGCAGCAUCAAUGUCUGGAACAUCUGUCCCUUGUUCAAAGGCCUGGGCUAUGCCUCCAUGGUGAUCGUCUUCUACUGCAACACCUACUACAUCAUGGUGCUGGCCUGGGGCUUCUAUUACCUGGUCAAGUCCUUUACCACCACGCUGCCCUGGGCCACAUGUGGCCACACCUGGAACACUCCCGACUGUGUGGAGAUCUUCCGCCAUGAAGACUGUGCCAGUGCCAGCCUGGCCAACCUCACUUGUGACCAGCUUGCUGACCGCCGGUCCCCUGUCAUCGAGUUCUGGGAGAACAAAGUCUUGAGGCUGUCUGGGGGACUGGAGGUGCCAGGGGCCCUCAACUGGGAGGUGACCCUUUGUCUGCUGGCCUGCUGGGUGCUGGUCUACUUCUGUGUCUGAAAGGGGGUCAAAUCCAUGGGAAAGAUCGUGUACUUCACUGCUACAUUCCCCUACGUGGUCCUGGUCGUGCUGCUUGUGCUUGGAGUGCUGCUGCCUGGCACCCUGGACAGCAUCAUUUACUAUCUCAAGCCUGACUGGUCAAAGCUGGGGUCCCCUCAGGUAUGGAUAGAUGUGGGGACCCAGAUUUUCUUUUCUUAUGCCAUUGGCCUGGGGGCCCUCACAGCCCUGGGCAGCUACAACCGCUUCAACAACAACUGCUACAAUGGGACCAGCUUCUUUGCUGGCUUCGUGGUCUUCUCCAUCCUGGGCUUCAUGGCUGCAGAGCAGGGCAUGCACAUCUCCAAGGUGGCAGAGUCAGGGCCGGGCCUGGCCUUCAUCGCCUACCCACAGGCUGUCACACUGAUGCCAGUGGCCCCACUCUGGGCUGCCCUGUUCUUCUUCAUGCUGUUGCUGCUUGGUCUCGACAGCCAGUUUGUAGGUGUGGAGGGCUUCAUCACCGGCCUCCUCAACCUCCUCCCAGCCUCCUACUACUUCUGUUUCCAAAGGGAGAUCUCUGUGGCCCUCUGUUGUGCCCUCCGCUUUGUCAUUGAUCUCUCCAUGGUGACUGAUGGUGGGAUGUAUGUCUUCCAGCUGUUUGACUACUACUCAGCCAGCGGCACCACCCUGCUCUGGCAGGCCUUUUGGGAGUGCGUGGUGGUGGCCUGGGUGUAUGGAGCUGACCGCUUCACGGACGACAUUGCCUGUAUGAUCGGGUACCGACCUUGCCCCUGGAUGAAAUGGUGCUGGUCCUUCUUCACCCCGCUGGUUUGCAUGGGCAUCUUCAUCUUCAACGUUGUGUACUACGAGCCGCUGGUCUACAACAACACCAACGUGUACCCGUGGUGGGGUGAGGCCAUGGGCUGGGCCUUCGUGCUGUCCUCCAUGCUGUGCAUGCCACUGCACCUCCUGGGCUGCCUCCUCAGGGCCAAGGGCACCAUGGCUGAGUGCUGGAAGCACCUGACCCAGACCAUCUGGGGCCUCCACCACUUGGAGUACCGAGCUCAGGAUGCAGAUGUCAGGGGCCUGACCACCCUGACCCCAGUGUCCGAGAGCAGCAAGGUCGUCGUGGUGGAGAGUGUCAUGGGACAGCUCAGCUCACAUCACCAGCUCACCUCUGGUCUGUGGGGCAAGAGGCUGCAAUAUUCCAUCCUGGGUGUCUGGGCUGCUAACCUGGCCUGCUCAGGCUUCCCACCCUGUGCCCUGGGCUGGGCACACCCCCGGGAAGGGACCCCGGACACGGCUCCCACAUCCAGGCUCAAGGCGGAUGCACUUCCUGCACCUCCAGUCUUCUGUGUAGCGGCUUUAACCCACGUAUGUCUGUCACGUCCAGUCCCGAGACGGCUGAGUGACCCCAAGAAAGGCUUCCCUGACACCCGGACAGAGGCUGGAGGGCUGGGGCUGCGUGAGGGUGGUGGGCCUGCGGGGACAUUCUUACUGUGCUAAAAAGCCACUGCAAACAUAGCAAUAAAAACCUGUCAUUUUCCAAAGCAGGCCUCU